AAUAUUUAAAUUUCCAUAACGCGUUUCGUCACAAAAGGACUUUUUCAAAUGGAAUAACCAAUAACCAUUUGAAAAAGUCCUUUUGUGACGAAACGCGUUAUGGAAAUUUAAAUAU